rnacentral:rRNA from 1 species
AUUGAACGCUGGCGGCAGGCCUAACACAUGCAAGUCGAACGGUAACAGGAAGCAGCUUGCUGCUUCGCUGACGAGUGGCGGACGGGUGAGUAAUGUCUGGGAAACUGCCUGAUGGAGGGAGAUAACUACUGGAAACGGUAGCUAAUACCGCAUAACGUCGCAAGACCAAAGAGGGGGACCUUAGGGCCUCUUGCCAUCGGAUGUGCCCCGAUGGGAUUAGCUAGUAGGUGGGGUAACGGCUCACCUAGGCGACGAUCCCUAGCUGGUCUGAGAGGAUGACCAGCCACACUGGAACUGAGACACGGUCCAGACUCCUACGGGAGGCAGCAGUGGGGAAUAUUGCACAAUGGGCGCAAGCCUGAUGCAGCCAUGCCGCGUGUAUGAAGAAGGCCUUCGGGUUGUAAAGUACUUUCAGCGGGGAGGAAGGGAGUAAAGUUAAUACCUUUGCUCAUUGACGUUACCCGCAGAAGAAGCACCGGCUAACUCCGUG